CCAGACUCCUACGGGAGGCAGCAGUGAGGAAUAUUGGUCAAUGGCCGAAGGGCUGAACCAGCCAAGCCGCGUGAAGGAAUAAGGCCCUACGGGUCGUAAACUUCUUUAGUCAGGGAACAAAGGGUGCCACGCGUGGCGCUGUGAGUGUACCUGAAGAAUAAGCAUCGGCUAACUCCGUGCCAGCAGCCGCGGUAAUACGGAGGAUGCGAGCGUUAUCCGGAUUUAUUGGGUUUAAAGGGUGCGUAGGCGAAACAUUAAGUCAGCGGUAAAAUCGAGGGGCUCAACCCCUUUAAGCCGUUGAAACUGGUGAUCUUGAGUGGGCGAGAAGUAUGCGGAAUGCGUGGUGUAGCGGUGAAAUGCAUAGAUAUCACGCAGAACUCCGAUUGCGAAGGCAGCAUACCGGCGCCCAACUGACGCUGAAGCACGAAAGCGUGGGUAUCGAACAGGAUUAGAUACCCUAGUAAU
rnacentral:rRNA from 1 species